CUACGUGCCAGCAGCCGCGGUAAUACGGAAGGUCCAGGCGUUAUCCGGAUUUAUUGGGUUUAAAGGGAGCGUAGGCGGAUUGUUAAGUCAGCGGUUAAAGGGUGUGGCUCAACCAUGCAUUGCCGUUGAAACUGGCGAUCUUGAGUGCAGACAGGGAUGCCGGAAUUCGUGGUGUAGCGGUGAAAUGCUUAGAUAUCACGAGGAACUCCGAUCGCGAAGGCAGGUGUCCGGGCUGCAACUGACGCUGAGGCUCGAAAGUGUGGGUAUCAAACAGGAUUAGAUACCCUGGUAGUCCACACAGUAAACGAUGUAUACUCGCGGUUUGCGAUAGACAGUAAGCCGCCAAGCGAAAGCAUUAAGUAUACCACCUGGGGAGUACGCCGGCAACGGUGAAACUCAAAGGAAUUGACGGGGGCCCGCACAAGCGGAGGAACAUGUGGUUUAAUUCGAUGAUACGCGAGGAACCUUACCCGGGCUUGAACUAACGGUGACGAAUCUAGAGAUAG
rnacentral:rRNA from 1 species